rnacentral:misc_RNA from 1 species
AAGACGUAUCGGGAGGGUUGUCUGGACCGUCUAGUCUCCCUAACGGGAGGGCGUGUGAGUGGCAAUUGGAAUGUUUGUUCUGUCUGGCUCCAUGGUCAUGGCCAUCGAACUUUCAAAACACAGCCCUUGUCAUGUUCGCCUCGUGUCAUUUUCGUCCCUGGCGUUCAAUUAUGGUUCUUGUGUUGCCUACCCGUUAAGUGGUAUUCAUCUGCCUCUUAUGACCCUUUCCAUCCAAACCCCUUCUAAAGGUCGUUGGAGGAUUCGAAAGUGAUGCGUGUGAUGUGUUAGCCAGUAAUGGCUUGCGCUCUCACACGUGUCCAGUGUUCCCUCGAAUGUGGUGCACGCGGUGAACGUGGGCGAACUAGUCCGUCCCGUUAAGUCCCUUUAAUUUAUCGGUUCCCUUGAAUGACACUUUGCCGGGGUGAAGGUCUUGCUUACCCAUUCGGGGGGGCAACACUUGCACGGCAAGCAAAGUCUUUAAUG